UCAAUGAUUCAAGAGCUUUCUUGUUGAAACAUUUCCCUCAGUUCUAAAUGUUACAUAAUUAUAUCACAAGGAACAUCAUGUGGUGUCCUUGUUGGGCUCGUUUCAGCUUUGAAAGUACUUGGCAGAGCAUUAAUUGACCAAACUUUCUUGUUCCUAGGUGCCGGAGAGCUUGGAACUGGAAUAGUUGAGCUUAUUGCACUUGAAAUUUCAGUGAAGUCAGGGGUUAAGUUAGAUGAAGUUCGAAAAAAGAUUUGACUUGUCAACUCAUCAAAGGCAAUUGAACUGAUUGUGAGUUCUCGAUUAGAAAUGCUUCAUCACUUCAAAAGGUCUUGGGCUCAGAAACAUGAACCAGUCAAGGAUCGGAACUCAUCGGCCCUAUCAAUGAAUUAGAAGAGCAUUUGCCUAGGAGUGCCUUGGAUCACAAUCUGAAUAGUGGAGUUAAACCCCAAUCUGUAAACCUUUGUGUCAUAUUGUGUCCGCAUAUUUGCUGGUGGAGUGCCCGUGUAGUUGAAAGGAAUUCGAGGCUUCCCAAGAAAUCAUCGGUGAAAACUCCACUUAUGUUAUAGUAAUGAGCUUGAAGGAGAGUUGUAGUAGCAGGCAUGACAAAGCUGUAGUAAAUUUACACUUUUAUUAAUAAAGAUAAAGAUGCAAGUAUAAAUAUUUUAUGUAAAAGUACUUUUUAGUUAUGUAUGCAAUUCAGAUAAUAUGUAG